CUCCACCACCACGGAUCAUCCUUUGAUCCCCCCGUGAAUUGCAACAGGUUCUGGUUUUCUACCUUACUGCUGCUACAAUUUAGUUAUCCUUAUUUAAAAAUCUCAAAAAAAUUAUUCCUAUAUUGCUGCAUAAACUUUUCGUCAUAAAGUUUUCAUCUCUACGACGAAAGAUACAUUGCAGAAUUCCAACCGUAUAGAACCGUCUGUUUGAUCUUGCUAUUAUGUUUUUUCUAUCCAAAUCUCUAUAAAAUUUUUAUGACAUCUUUGACAUUUCCUAAUAGCAGAU
rnacentral:lncRNA from 1 species